GGUGGCGCACAUCUUUAAUCCCAGCACUUGGGAGGCAGAGGCAGACGGAUCUCUGUGAGUUUGAGGCCAGCCUGGUCUACAAAUCGAGUUCCAGAAUAGCCAGGCCUACACAGAGGAGUCAUGUCUUGACAAAACAAACAAAAGCUUAUUGGAAGCUUAUUGGAUGGAUGAAUGAAUGGAUUCACCCUUCCACUGUCAGUUAAGGGACUUACUAUGAGUGAGAUGAAGCUGUAAAGGUGAAUGAGGGUCACACUAGGAUGGUGCUUAGUUGCUAACCAUGGCGUUCGGAUGCUCUACUCUGAAGAAUGGGGUGUUGCCAACAGUUAUCCAGGGACGGAGAGGCAUGGUCAGCACUGAGAAAGAUUGGAAGGUGAUCAUGGCUCCACCAAACCUCAGACUGUAACCUCUCCUCAGGCUGGAGAAUCCUGAGAGUUCAAUGUCUUCCAAUCCUCAAUGUGGCUGGAGAAUGAAUGCCUGAUACUGACUACUGAAGACCCUGCUCCUAUCUUUUAUACCCCUCUAGUGUGAUUCCAGGUGCUGAGAUCAUCUUUGUGUGAGCUAUUUCUCUUUAGGACUGGAUCAGUCUUGUGUAGAUCUGGUGGCCUUGGACUCAGAGAUCUGUCUACUUGUUAAUCCUGAGUCCUAGGAUUAAAGUCCAUUUCUGCAAAACCUGAAAGCCUUCCACACACCAAGUCCUACCCUGAACCCUAGAGGUAUGAGAACAGAAGAAACAGAGAUCCACCUUCAAAAGCUGCUGGACCUUGGCCUUCAUCCAGCAGCUGGUGGAAGUAGAAGCAGACACCCACAACUAAUCACCGAACUGAACUGGAACUCAGAUGCAGAGAAGGACGAGUGAUGAGCAAAGGGGUCCAGACCAGGCUGGUGAAACCCACAGAAACAGCUGACCUGAACAACGGGGAGCUCUUGGUCCCCAGACUGAUAGCAAGGAAACCAGCAUGGGACUGAUCCAGAUCCCAGGAACGUGGAUUUCAGUGAGGAGACC
rnacentral:lncRNA from 1 species